CACUGCUGCAGCCGGAGCGUUUUGUCACCUUGGGUAUCGACCCGCCAAAGGGAGUGCUGCUGUACGGACCGCCGGGGACGGGCAAGACCCUGACGGCUCGUGCAGUGGCCAACCGCACCGACGCCUGCUUCAUCUGCGUCAUCGGAUCGGAGCUCGUCCAAAAGUAUGUGGGUGAGGGUGCGCGUAUGGUGCGUGAGCUGUUCCAGAUGGCCCGCUCCAAGAAGGCGUGCAUCCUGUUCA
rnacentral:SRP_RNA from 1 species